NNACCCCAUCUGUCUCCAUCUCUGUCUUCCCCAUCCAUCUCUCUCCAUCUGUCACCCCCUAUCCCAUCUCUCUCCAUCUCUCUGUCUCCCUCCACCCCAUCUCUCCAUCUCUCUUCUCCUCCAACCCCAUCUCUCUCCAUCUCUCUGUCUCCCCCCACCCCAUAUCUCUGCUCCUCCAGCCCCAUCUCACUCCAUCUCUCUGUCUCCCACCACCCCAUCUCUCUCCACCUCUCUGUUUCCCCCCACCCCAUCUCUCUUCAUCUCUCUGUCUCCCCCUACCCCAUCUCCCUCCAUAUCUCUGUCUUCCCUCACCCCAUCUCUCUUCAUCUCUCUACUCCAACCCCAUCUCUCUGUCUCCCCUACUCCGUCUCUCUCCAUCUCUGUCGCCCCUCACCCCAUCUCUCUGUCCCCCCAUCCCAUCUCUCUCUCCAUCUCUGUCCUCUCACCCCA
rnacentral:lncRNA from 1 species